UACGGAGGAUGCAAGCGUUAUCCGGAUUUAUUGGGCGUAAAGCGUCCAUAGGUGGUUAAUCAAGUCUAUUGUCAAAGCCUGGGGCUUAACCCUGGAGAGGCGGUGGAAACUGGUUGACUUGAGUGCGGUAGGGGCAGAGGGAAUUCCCAGUGUAGCGGUGAAAUGCGUAGAUAUUGGGAAGAACACCGGUGGCGAAAGCGCUCUGCUGGGCCUGCACUGACACUGAGGGACGAAAGCUAGGGGAGCGAAAGGG
rnacentral:rRNA from 1 species